rnacentral:rRNA from 1 species
UACGUAGGGGGCUAGCGUUGUCCGGAAUCAUUGGGCGUAAAGAGCGCGUAGGCGGCUGGAAUAGUCCGGUGCGAAAUCCACAGGCUUAACCUGUGAAUGCCGCUGGAAACUGUCUGGCUAGAGUCCGGAAGGGGCGAGUGGAAUUCCCGGUGUAGCGGUGAAAUGCGCAGAUAUCGGGAGGAACACCGAUGGCGAAGGCAGCACUCUGGGCCGGUACUGACGCUGAGGAGCGAAAAGCGUGGGGGAGCGAACAGG